rnacentral:rRNA from 1 species
AACGAACGCUGGCGGCAUGCCUAACACAUGCAAGUCGAACGAGACCUUCGGGUCUAGUGGCGCACGGGUGCGUAACGCGUGGGAACCUGCCCUUAGGUUCGGAAUAACUCCCCGAAAGGGGUGCUAAUACCGGAUAAUGUCUUCGGACCAAAGAUUUAUCGCCUUUGGAUGGGCCCGCGUUGGAUUAGCUAGUUGGUAGGGUAAAAGCCUACCAAGGCGACGAUCCAUAGCUGGUCGGAGAGGAUGAUCAGCCACACUGGGACUGCGACACGGCCCAGACUCCUACGCGACGCAGCAGUGGGGAAUAUUGGACGAUGGGCGAAAGCCUGAUCCAGCCAUGUCGCGUGAGUGAUGAAGGCCUUAGUGUUGUAAAGCUCUUUUACCCGGGAUGAUAAUGACAGUACCGGGAGAAUAAGCUCCGGCUAACUCCGUG